UUGGUGGGGUGAUGGCCUACCAAGGCUUCGACGGGUAGCCGGCCUGAGAGGGCGUCCGGCCACACUGGGACUGAGACACGGCCCAGACUCCUACGGGAGGCAGCAGUGGGGAAUAUUGCGCAAUGGGCGGAAGCCUGACGCAGCGACGCCGCGUGGGGGAUGACGGCCUUCGGGUUGUAAACCUCUUUCGACUUCGACGAAGCCUUUUGGGGUGACGGUAGGGGUGGAAGAAGCACCGGCCAACUACGUGCCAGCAGCCGCGGUAAUACGUAGGGUGCGAGCGUUGUCCGGAAUUAUUGGGCGUAAAGAGCUCGUAGGCGGUGUGUCACGUCGGCCGUGAAAACCUGCAGCUUAACUGUGGGCGUGCGGUCGAUACGGGCAUCACUGGAGUUCGGCAGGGGAGACUGGAAUUCCUGGUGUAGCGGUGAAAUGCGCAGAUAUCAGGAGGAACACCGGUGGCGAAGGCGGGUCUCUGGGCCGAUACUGACGCUGAGGAGCGAAAGCGUGGGGAGCGAACAGGAUUAGAUACCCUGGUAGUCCACGCCGUAAACGGUGGGCACUAGGUGUGGGGGCCAUUCCACGGUCUCUGUGCCGCAGCUAACGCAUUAAGUGCCCCGCCUGGGGAGUACGG
rnacentral:rRNA from 1 species